UACGUAGGGUGCAAGCGUUGUUCGGAGUCAUUGGGCGUAAAGGGCGCGCAGGUGGUAGUGUGUGUCUACCGUGAAAGCGCGCGGCUUAACCGCGUUCCGUCGGUAGAAACUGCAGAACUCGAGACUGGGAGGGGCUGGUGGAAUUCCCUGUGUAGCGGUGAAAUGCGUAGAGAUGGGGGAGAACACUCGUGGCGAAGGCGGCCAGCUAGACCAGUUCUGACACUGAGGCGCGACAGCGUGGGGAGCAAACAGG
rnacentral:rRNA from 1 species